GUGCUUUCUUCAGCAGCACUUAUACUGAAACCAGAGCAACAUAGAGAAAAUUAUCAUGGCCCCUGCACAAGGUUGACACAUAAACUUGUGGACCAUUCCAUAUUUUU
ensembl:snRNA U6 U6 spliceosomal RNA